GAUGAGAACGUAGCGAAAUGCGAUAAGUAAUGUGAAUUGCAGAAUCCAGUGAAUCAUCGAAUCUUUGAACGCACAUUGCGCCCGCCAGUAUUCUGGCGGGCAUGCCUGUCCGAGCGUCAUUUCAACCAUCAAGCCCCAGGCUUGUGUUGGGGACCUGCGUCCGACGCAGGCCCUGAAAACCAGUGGCGGGCUCGCUGUCCACACCGAGCGUAGUAACUAACCUCGCUACGGGAGCGGCGCGGGCGCCUGCCGUAAAACCCCCAAUUUUCACAAGGUUGACCUCGGAUCAGGUAGGAAUACCCGCUGAACUUAAGCAUAUCAAUAAGCGGAGGA
rnacentral:misc_RNA from 1 species